AAAGCUAAAUUUAGACCAAAUAAACACUGUUACUUGUAUAUGAUAUAAAUGUAAUAUUUUGUAAUGUAUGUUUCAUCUCCAGUUGUCACACACCUCUCUGAGAGCCACCAGCUCUUUAUCCCGCUGUUCUAGCAGGUUCUCCAGGUGGUGCGCAUGCAUCUCUGCAUCUGCCAGGCGUCGUGUUCGCUCAUGAUCUUCUUCACUGGCUUUAGCUGACGGGCCCUUGCUGUGCAACAUCUCCAGGAGCUUUUUGACAGAGUCAUCGCGAGCAACGAGCGUCUGCCGCUGGGCCUCCAUGCGCAGCUCCAUCUCCUCCAGCGUACGGCGGAGCAAGAAGAGCUCUCGAGCCUGACGUUCCUGCUCCUCACUGGGUUCGCAGGCCAGAGGCUCCCCGGGCGGCUGGAGAAGCUGGUUCAAGUCACGCUGGAUACGCAGCUCGGCCUGCAGCGCCUGCACUGUUGUCUGCAGAUGCUGUAAGAGGAAUUCAGGCAGUGAACACAGCAGUGAGCCGCACGCAGCAGGACCAGGAUGUCCAUUUCAGGAUUGGCCGUUAGGAUGACCUCACAGAAGAGAAAACCCAGAGAAAAGGAGGAAAGGGAAUAAAGACUUUGCUUUCUUUAAGAGAGCACAGAAGGCUGCAAAGCGCCCUUUCCUUAGCUGUGACCGGAACAGAGUGGUUCCCUUUGAACCACGGUCAGAUAUCGACGAUUUCGAGCACCUGCCUGUUCCAGGUGCCUCCAGGACUGUCGUUGUUGCAGCCAGGCCA
rnacentral:lncRNA from 1 species